GUAGGUGAACCUGCGGAAGGAUCAUUAUUGAAUAAAUUUAGUAAGUUGUCGCUGGCUCCUUGGAGCAUGUGCACACUUGCUGUUUUUAUAUCUCCACCUGUGCACUUUUUGUAGACAUGGAUAUCUCUCGAGGAAACUCGGCUUGAGGACUGAUGGCUUUGCAUGAAGCCAGCUUUCCUUACAUUUCCUGUCUAUGUUUUCAUAUACACUUAAUAAGGUUAUAGAAUGUCUAUAUAUGGCAAUUAUUGUCUUUAAUCUAUAUACAGCUUUCAACAACGGAUCUCUUGGCUCUC
rnacentral:misc_RNA from 1 species